rnacentral:rRNA from 1 species
UGGCGGACGGGUGAGUAACGCGUGGGUAACCUUCCUUGUACUGGGGGACAACAGUUAGAAAUGACUGCUAAUACCGCAUGAGCGCACAGUAUCGCAUGAUACAGUGUGAAAAACUCCGGUGGUACAAGAUGGACCCGCGUCUGGUUAGCUAGUUGGUAAGGUAACGGCUUACCAAGGCGACGAUCAGUAGCCGACCUGAGAGGGUGACCGGCCACAUUGGGACUGAGACACGGCCCAA